AAGAAGUUAGUUAAAUUUAUAACAUAUAUUUGUCAUAUAUAAAUUGCCUUUGGCACUUCUUA
rnacentral:tRNA from 1 species